rnacentral:lncRNA from 1 species
AUGGUCUGUGACCCUCCAAUCAGUGCCUUGCGGCUGCGGCGGCAACACCAAUCCGGAUCCAGGAAAAUAUGUAAACAGGAAGAGGCCACCGGACCACUCACCACAGGAGCUGAUGCACAUUCUUCAGCUGAACUUUACACCGUUGUCCCACCAUCCACUGAAUUGAACACCAUUCAGACUCAUGGCUUUAUCAGCAGUGACAUGCGUGUGGUGUGUAGAGACUCCAACGGUUGUGUCAGUGUUCUCUCGUUGACGGCGCCGGGGCUAGAGACCACGGCCCAGUGGAAGGCUCUGAGGCCUGGAUCACAGCCAUCUCCUUCUAGGACACCCAGCUGUUCUACUCAGCAAGCUGAAAGGCUGGGACCCCAGGAUGGAGCUCUCCUCUCCCACUUUCACCAGCAAGAGAAGAUGCUGCUGCUACUGCUGCUGCCUCAGCACUACACUUCCAGACGGUCUGUCCAAAGGCUGCAUCCCACAUGGCCGGUGGAACUACGUGCUCUUUAGCACAGGGGUCCAGGACCUCCUUGUCCCCGUCUGGGAGGGUCCUGAACCCCACAGCCUGGACCCCCUUGGGGGAGGGGGGAAUUAAUUUGGCCUUUUCAAAUUGAAAUAAUAAAUGGAAAGGCAUGGCUUGGACAAUCUCUCCAAAGGCUAAUGCCUCCUUUGGGGUCAUUUAAUAACUGGAGGAGAGACCCUAGCUGCUCCUUCUGGCCCGCAUAUGCAUGGCGCUUAUAGGGAGGCCAACCUCUAGCUGUGAGGUUGGCCUCCCGGGAGAUACCAUGGCCCGGGUCUCUGCCUCCAGGUGGGGGCGGGGACUUGUACAGGGUCAGUGAUGCAUGUUUCUGUUGUAUGUUGUUUCAUGUUUUGUUGGUUUUAAUAAAUCCAGUUUUCUGACUAAACUGAAGUGUUUAUUGAUGUGUUGAUAUGAAUCGUAAAUGGUAUAUCCUCUGGAUUCAUUGCAUGUUUGUGGCUAUAAUAUCAACCCUGUAAUGCAAAGACAGGCUUCAAACAUGCUUUCAG